rnacentral:rRNA from 1 species
AUGUCCGCACCAACCGUGUCAUAUAGGGCAUUGCUCGACGACGCGGAGGUGAACAUCACGUCUCCUCCACUUGCUUCCUUCGACUUCCAUGUUGAGGAGCCGACGGUUGAGGAGGGGGAGGCCGGUGAGGAGGAGGAGGCGGGUGAGGAGGACGAAUAAGAUGAAGAUGUCACCGAGAUCGGAGAGGAAAUGUUUGAAGCGGGAGGUGGUGCUCGAAGGCCAAUUCGCACGGUGAACUACACGGAGGUUGAGGAUGUCCUCUUGGUCAAGGCUUGGUCGCAAGUGGGCUUGCAUGCGGUCACCGGCACCGAUCAAACCGGGAAACGUUAUUGGCAACGCAUUGAGGACAAGUAUUGCAAGCUGAAACCCAAGACUGCCACAUUGAGAGCUCGUUCUUACCGAUCGCUUCAAGGCCAGUGGGAGUUGAUGAAACCCGCUUGUGCUCGUUGGAGUGCGGCUAUGGAUCAAGUGAGGGAUCAACCCCCAAGUGGCUGUGUUGAGAGUGAUUAUGAGAAAUAUGCCGACUUGAGGUACAAGGACAUGGCCGGUUCCAAGGGCAAAUCCUUCCCAUUCAUGCAUUGUUGGGCAUUGCUCCAACAUCUUGACAAAUGGAAAUUGAGGGAUCAAGAGAGUGCACCGAAAAAAUCGGAUAUGCUCAAAAUGGAUGAUAGUGAUGAUGAAGGAAGAAACCAUGACAAGCCCGGGGGAAACAAGAAGGCAAAAUAGAGGAUGAAGAUGGAAGCGGAGGCAUCAAGCUUGAAGGAAAAGCUUGAUCAAAUGAUCAAGUCAAAGGAGGCAUUGGCGGCGAAGGCAUUGGAGGCAAAGCUUAUUAUCACCGAGAGAAAGAAAGAGGUGAAACUUGCACAACUGGAAGCAAGGCGAGAAGAUGCCAAGCGCAAGGCCGACAUGGAGGAGAGGAUGAUCAAGCUCAAGGAAGCAAAAGCAUGGAAGGAGCUCAUGGCCGAGGAGAAGGAGCACAUGAUGAUGUCUAGAAAGGACAUGGAUGAAGAGCAAUUGGCGUGGUGGAAGGAGUACAAGGAGAACAUCGCCGAGAGGAAGAGGCUACUGCAUGGUGCUGGUGGUGGUGCGUUGUCUACUCUCCGAGGUGAGUCUCCGAUGAGUGGUGGAGGCGAUGGAAGUGUGGACAACUUCACCGGUGCUUGA